AAAAAAUGAGUACUACAGCUGCUCCUGUUUUGUGAUUCAUGCCUGCUAAAGAUCAGGACUGAUUUAUCCAAUUGUAUUAUACUAUAAAGCAUCUUAAUCAUUUGACCACAAGUUACAAAGGGAAAGCCUUGUUCUGUGUCCAAUUUAGUAUUUUUGCGCCUAGCUUUGAAAUGGGCCUAUUAUAAUUACACUAUGGAUUAGGAUCAAAACUUUUUCAUGCCUUGGUAAUUCAAAUCCCAUGUUUAAUUGAUAUUUAUAAAAAAAAAUACCAGUCUGAAAAGGGAAGUAGUUUGGAUUAUGUACAGUUUAUAAUCUGCUCAAAGAAAGCUGAAAAACUCAAUAUGAAGGUGAAGUGAAAGAAACUGUAGCUUCCACGAUCAGCUUCAGAGAUCUGAGUUUGCAAAAUUAGAGGUCAGAUAGAUUUGGCCAACAAAUUUUAAGUUAUAAGUCCAGAUACUUUCCCACUUAAAUACUCUUAGUAUCUUGAGAUAGACAGCAUAUGCUGCCUAUAGCCUGGCUGAAAAACCAGACCUUCUUCUCUUCGUGGCCCUGCCCUUCCUCUCUUCUCCUCUUCUCCUCUUCUCGGCCCUGCCCUUCCUCUCUUCUCCUCUUCUCGGCCCUGCCCUUCCUCUCUUCGCCUCUUCUCCUCUUCUCGGCCCUGCCCUUCCUCUCUUCUCCUCCUCUUCGUGGCCCUGCCCUUCCUCUCAUCUCCUCAUCCGCUCAUCUCCUCUUGGUGGCUCUGCGCUUUCUCUCUUCCACUCUUCUCCUCUUCAUGGCCCUACCAUUCCCCUCUUCUCCUCUUCCACUCUUCUCAUCUACUUGGCCCUGCACUUCCUCUCUUCUCCUCU
rnacentral:lncRNA from 1 species